rnacentral:rRNA from 1 species
GACGAACGCUGGCGGCGUGCUUAACACAUGCAAGUCGAACGGAAAGGCCCUGCUUGCAGGGUACUCGAGUGGCGAAGGGGUGAGUAACGCGUGGGUGAUCUGCCCUGCACUUCGGGAUAAGCCUGGGAAACUGGAUCUAAUACCGGAUAGGACCAUCGUUUAGUGUCGGUGGUGGAAAGUUUUUCGGUGCAGGAUGAGCUCGCGGCCUAUCAGCUUGUUGGUGGGGUAAUGGCCUACCAAGGCGUCGACGGGUAGCCGGCCUGAGAGGGUGGACGGCCACAUUGGGACUGAGACACGGCCCAGACUCCUACGGGAGGCAGCAGUGGGGAAUAUUGCACAAUGGGCGCAAGCCUGAUGCAGCGACGCCGCGUGGGGGAUGAAGGCCUUCGGGUUGUAAACUCCUUUCAACCAUGACGAAGCAUUAUGUGACGGUAGUGGUAGAAGAAGCACCGGCUAACUACGUGCCAGCAGCCGCCGUAA